rnacentral:rRNA from 1 species
AUUGAACGCUGGCGGCAGGCCUAACACAUGCAAGUCGAACGAGUGGCGGACGGGAGAGCAAUGUCUGGGAAACUGCCUGAUGGAGGGGGAUAACUACUGGAAACGGUAGCUAAUACCGCAUACCAUCGGAUGUGCCCAGUUGGGAUUAGCUAGUAGGGGGGGUAAAGGCUCACCUAGGCGACGAUCCCUAGCUGUUCUGAGAGGAUGACCGGCCACACUGGAACUGUGACACGGUCCAGCCUCCUACGGGAGGCAGCGGUGGUGAAUAUUGCACAAUGGGCGCAAGCCUGAUGCGCCCAUGCCGCGUGUAUGAAGAGGGCCGUCGGGUUGUAAAGUACUUUCAUCGGGGAGGCGUUACCCGCAGAGGAAGCGCCGGCUAACUCCGUGCCAGCCGCCGCGGUAAUUC